rnacentral:rRNA from 1 species
CACGUAUUUAGCCGUCGCUUCUUCUGUUGGUACCGUCACUUUCUUCUUCCCAACUGAAAGCACUUUACAUUCCGAAAAACUUCAUCGUGCACACAGAAUUGCUGGAUCAGACUUUUGGUCCAUUGUCCAAUAUUCCCCACUGCUGCCUCCCGUAGGAGUAAGGGCCGUGUCUCAGUCCCCUUGUGGCCGUUCACCCUCUCAGGCCGGCUACCCAUCAUCGUCUUGGUGAGCCGUUACCUCACCAACUAACUAAUGGGACGCAAAGCUCUCUCGCAGCGCAUAUAGCUUUCAUAAUUAAAUCAUGCGAUUCAAUCAUAAUAUCCGGUAUUAGCGUCCGUUUCCAGACGUUGUCCCAGACUGCAAGGCAAGUUCUUUACGCGUUACUCACCCGUCCGCCACCAUCACCCGAAGGAUCAAGUAGACUUGCAUGUGUUAAGCAUUCUGUCAGCGUUCAUCCUGAGCCAGGAUCAAACUCU